UGGCCAGGGAGGGUGGCAACACCCACCCAGGGCCGGAAAGUUGUUCAAACUUGGUCAUUUAGAGGAAGUAAAAGUCGUAACAAGGUUUCCGUAGAAAAUAAGUUCUGGAACACUCCCGUACUGGGGUCUAGUAGCUUAGGGUUAGCCCCUAUCUGCCUAGUAAUGUUUCUUCCAUGGUACACUUAUAGAAGCCUAUGUAGCCCUGAAAAUGGGUGUCUACCACGACGAUAAAUAAUGGUAUACUUUGCAAGUCAGGUAAUCUGGCAACAUAAUCGAAUUGCGGGGAUCUCCUAAAGCUUGUUGGUACCAACUAUAGGUGGAAACACCUAUAGGGCCUGUGUUAAUACUACAGGGUGGUCAAAAUCCUCCAAGAUACUAUAAUGGAUAAUCCGCAGCGAAUCUCCUACGGGUAUUAACCUACGGGGAACGUUCACAGACUAAGUGAUUAUGGGCGCUACCGUCACGGAACGUCUAAGAUAUAGUCGGGCACUGUAGGAGACUACAGUGAUGUGAAAUCAUAUGAAAAGGUUUCUGGUUGGUGGCAGAAAUAAACGGUUUGAUUCUAUAGUUCAACGCUGCAAGUUCUAAUCUACGUAUCCUACAAAAGCUCAAAAUACUGGUGAAGACUGUUGAGGAUAAGAGUUGGAGAGUUGGGGAGUUGGAGGCUGUUGAGAUAGACUGCUUCGUGAUUCACAGGGCUGUUUGAGCAACUUUGUGAUCACUGUCCAAACUCUUGUCCUCCUAAGGCCAUUGUUGUUCUAUAGAAUUGCCCUUUUCAGAAUGUGAUUCUCAAAACCGUUCCGUAGGUGAACCUGCGGAAGGAUCAUUACAGAGUUCUUGCCCUUACGGGUAGAUCUCCCACCCUUGAAAUCCGUACCUAUGUUGCUUUGGCAGGCCGUGGCCUCCACCGCUGGCUCCGGCUAGUGUGUGCCUGCCAGAGGACCCAACUCUUGAUUUUAGUGAUGUCUGAGUACUAUAUAAUAGUUAAAACUUUCAACAACGGAUCUCUUGGUUCUGGCAUCGAUGAAGAACGCAGCGAAAUGCGAUAAGUAAUGUGAAUUGCAGAAUUCAGUGAAUCAUCGAAUCUUUGAACGCACAUUGCGCCCCUUGGUAUUCCGAGGGGCAUGCCUGUUCGAGCGUCAUUAUGACCAAUCAAGCCCAGCUUGGUGUUGGGGCCCGCCUUCCAGCGGCCCCUAAACCCAGUGGCGGUGCCGUUGGGCUCUCAGCGUAGUAAUACUCCUCGCUACAGGGUCCCGCGGUUGCUUGCCAGCAACCCCCAACUUCUUAGGUUGACCUCGGAUCAGGUAGGGAUACCCGCUGAACUUAAGCAUAUCAAUAAGCGGAGGAAAAGAAACCAACAGGGAUUGCCUCAGUAACGGCGAGUGAAGCGGCAACAGCUCAAAUUUGAAAUCUGGCUCUCUCAGGGUCCGAGUUGUAAUUUGUAGAAGAUGCUUCGGGUGUGGCUCCGGUCUAAGUUCCUUGGAACAGGACGUCAUAGAGGGUGAGAAUCCCGUAUGUGACUGGUUGCCUCCGCCUAUGUGAAGCUCUUUCGACGAGUCGAGUUGUUUGGGAAUGCAGCUCAAAAUGGGUGGUAUAUUUCAUCUAAAGCUAAAUAUUGGCCAGAGACCGAUAGCGCACAAGUAGAGUGAUCGAAAGAUGAAAAGCACUUUGGAAAGAGAGUUAAACAGUACGUGAAAUUGUUGAAAGGGAAGCGCUUGCAACCAGACUUGCGCGCUGCCGAUCAUCCGGGGUUCUCCCCGGUGCACUCGGCUGUGCUCAGGCCAGCAUCGGUUUGGGUGGCUGGACAAAGGCCUUGGGAAUGUAGCUUCUCUCGGGGAGUGUUAUAGCCCUCGGUGCAAUGCAGCCUACCUGGACCGAGGACCGCGCUUCGGCUAGGAUGCUGGCGUAAUGGUUGUAAGCGACCCGUCUUGAAACACGGACCAAGGAGUCUAACAUCUAUGCGAGUGUUUGGGUGUCAAACCCAUACGCGUAAUGAAAGUGAACGGAGGUGAGAACCCUUUAGGGUGCAUCAUCGACCGAUCCUGAUGUCUUCGGAUGGAUUUGAGUAAGAGCAUAGCUGUUGGGACCCGAAAGAUGGUGAACUAUGCGUGAAUAGGGUGAAGCCAGAGGAAACUCUGGUGGAGGCUCGCAGCGGUUCUGACGUGCAAAUCGAUCGUCAAAUUUGCGCAUAGGGGCGAAAGACUAAUCGAACCAUUAAGCCUCCGGGCGUGCUAGGUGGUUGAGAGGGCGCCCAACCGGCGCCCUAGUCCGGGUCAACGGGCUACAUUAUCAAAGUGUUCGGGGACGUCCUGCUUGAAUUCUAGGCUACCGCAGCCUUCCCGAAAGGGGGGUGCGCACCAGGUUAAUCGCCUCGGGGAUGGUAACAACGCCUAGAUAGGGACUAUCCGCAGCCAACUCCUAAGGGCCACCGUGCCUACGGAUGCAGUUCACAGACUAGAUGGUAGUGGGCCCUGCUCUGCAGGGCUUAAGUUAUAGUCGGACCGCCAGGAGACUGGUCGGUGUAGAGGGAUUACGUAGGGUUGACGGUGCGCUCCGGCGUGUCCCUGCGUAUGAGUGCUCACCGGAGCUUAACACGCCUUAGCCUGCGUGCUAGGCUUGGGGGGGUG
rnacentral:rRNA from 1 species